rnacentral:rRNA from 1 species
UACGUAGGGUGCGAGCGUUGUCCGGAAUUAUUGGGCGUAAAGGGCGCGUAGGCGGUCGUGACAAGUCACUUGUGAAAUCUCCGGGCUUAACUCGGAAAGGUCAAGUGAUACUGUCGGACUAGAGUACAGAAGGGGCAACUGGAAUUCUCGGUGUAGCGGUGAAAUGCGUAGAUAUCGAGAGGAACACCUGCGGCGAAGGCGGGUUGCUGGGCUGAUACUGACGCUGAGGCGCGAAAGCCAGGGGAGCAAACGGG